rnacentral:rRNA from 1 species
GAUGAACGCUAGCGGCAGGCCUAACACAUGCAAGUCGAGGGGCAGCACAGAAACAGCAAUGUUUUGGUGGCGACCGGCGGACGGGUGCGUAACGCGUAUGCAACCUACCUUUAACAGGGGGAUAACGGAGAGAAAUUUCCACUAAUACCCCAUAACAUCGAUCAAGGCAUCUUGAUUGGUUGAAAACUCCGGUGGUUAAAGAUGGGCAUGCGUUGUAUUAGGUAGUUGGUGAGGUAAUGGCUCACCAAGCCUACGAUACAUAGGGGGACUGAGAGGUUAGCCCCCCACACUGGUACUGAGACACGGACCAGACUCCUACGGGAGGCAGCAGUGAGGAAUAUAGGUCCAUGGGGGCAACCCUGAACCAGCCAUGCCGCGUGCAGGAAGACGGCUCUAUGAGUUGUAAACUGCUUUUAAACAGGGAUAAAGCACAGUAUGUAUACUGUGUUGAAGGUACUGUAAGAAUAAGGAUCGGCUAACUCCGUGCCAGCAGCCGCCGUAA